CCUACGGGAGGCUGCAGUGGGGAAUCUUCCGCAAUGGGCGCAAGCCUGACGGAGCAACGCCGCGUGAGUGAAGAAGGCCUUCGGGUCGUAAAGCUCUGUCUUUAGGAAAGAACAACUACAGUGUGAACAAUGCUGUAGUCUGACGGUACCUAAGGAGGAAGCUCCGGCUAACUACGUGCCAGCAGCCGCGGUCAUACGUAGGGAGCGAGCGUUGUCCGGAAUUACUGGGCGGGAGAUGUAAGUAAGCGGGGAAAACUCCGGGCUCAACUUGGAGACUGCACUUUAAACUGGAUCUCUUGAGGGCAGGAGAGGAAAGUGGAAUUCCUAGUGUAGCGGUGAAAUGCGUAGAUAUUAGGAGGAACACCAGUGGCGAAGGCGACUUUCUGGACUGUACCUGACGCUGAGGCGCGAAAGCGUGGGUAGCGAACAGGAUUAGAUACCCUUGUAGUC
rnacentral:rRNA from 1 species